AUGCCUAUGAUCCCAGCAAAGGAUGAGAGAAAGCUUACAAGAACUUAUCCUCAGUUGCUGUUGCUGAGGCAGAAACUGUGGGUGGGAGCAUGGUGUGCAAAAAUAUGUGAAAAGACACUUGGUACUGUUCUCACUCCUGAUACAAGGAAAGAUGGUGCAAGGAAUACCACAGAAAGUGGCAGAGGAAAACUGAAUGAAAAUAAAGCUUUGACUUCAAAGAAAGCAAGAUUUGGUCCAUAUGGAAAGAACAAAUUCUCCACUUGCAGAAUUUGUAAAAGUUCUGUACACCAACCAGGUUCUCAUUAUUGCCAGGGCUGUGCCUACAAAAAGGGCAUCUGUGCAAUGUGUGGCAAGAAGGUUUUGGAUACCAAAAACUACAAGCAAACGUCUGUCUAGAUGUGUUGAUGAAGUUUCUGGCUGGCUGUGAUUUUACUUUCUGCUUUGGCUUUUCAAGGCAUCAUAUAGAUAUUCAACUUAAAAAGUAACAUAUUUCAAGACAAAUGGCUAAGUUUAAACCAGGGAAGUUGAUCAGUCGUUAUUAUUUUGUUCGGCAAAGGUUCUUAAAGCAGCAAUGUAAGUCAACUUACGCUGU